GACGAAGGAUGCAAGCGUUAUCCGGAUUCAUUGGGUUUAAAGGGAGCGUAGGUGGCCUUGUAAGUCAGUGGUGAAAUCCUGUCGCUUAACGAUAGAAUUGCCAUUGAUACUGCAGGUCUAGAGUAUAGAUGACGUUGGCGGAAUAUGACAUGAAGUGGUGAAAUACUUAGAUAUGUCAUAGAACACCGAUUGCGAAGGCAGCUAACGAAACUAUAACUGACGCUGAGGCACGAAAGUGCGGGGAUCAAACAGG
rnacentral:rRNA from 1 species